AUAGGAGGCAGAAUUACCAUUUCAGGCAUGUUGUAUGCAUUCAAACAAAUAAAAACCAAAAAAAACCCCCCAAACUUCUACGUUCCCCUGCUGUUUUCAAGUUCUCUUAUGGUUUUGAAUGCACAAGCAAAUACCACGUUUCAUGGAAAGCUGAACAUAAGCCUAUGGUAUUAUUCAGUUUUUAUAAACUGGCGUUUUAUGCAUAUAAUCUGGAUGAAUGUUCCAACUUCUGAGUGCACAGUAAAAUGUCUUUUCGUUCUCCAUUCUUAGAAAUAUUUCAAGAUAGCCUUGCUUUGUGUUAGGCCUAUUCCAUUGUAUGUAUUAAUGAGUCUUCAGCUUUUUUUCUCCAAUAAUGCUUGUGUUCACAGGGGAGAUCUCUGAAAUCACCGGACGUGGUUAUGCUCAAAAUAAAACUGAUACCUAAGGAACUUUCAUCUUGGUGACCGGAUUAGCUUUUGCACACUUUUGCCCUGGCUGCGCGUAUGACUGAACUGGGAUUCUGUUUGUACUUCGAGUGCUAUAAUGAGCACAGAUAAGAGUUUGCAUGAUGAAAUACAGAGCCACUUCAAAGAUGAUGAAAAUAGUGGUGGGAGGUGUGAGCUAGUGGCUGCAACUGUAACGUGUUGUAACUACAUCUCACAUGGGCUGUUUUUGACCAGCUCUAGUCUACCUUCAGUUCAUACCAUAGCAGAAUAACUUUUGUAUGUGGAGAACUCUUUAAACCUGAAGAUACCAGAGCAGGAAAGCAUAAAUAACAUUCUGUCUUUAUUCUGCAAUUUUUCUGUUUUGUUACAGCAUUCCCUGUGAUUCAUGGACCUAACAGCUACCACCACUGAUACCUUAGAUUCGUUCUCCUCAGACUUCAAAGUGCACACCGGGCUUGAGAAGAACAAGGUGACUCCUGAACUGUCUUAAGUCAACUCCUCAACUGUGCAGUUUUACGCUUUGAGAAGACGCUUGUGUUCCAAGUACACAACAAAAGUGCAGAGGAGGAGGAGGGCACAAAGAUUCUGUGAUGGGCACGCUUUCUCUUUGCCAGGUAUUCCAUGAAAUGGCAACCUAAGGAUUAUUUUAUUCCUUCUACUUCCAUUCACUGAAACAAGUUGCACCUCUCGGCACUCUCAGUGGUUUUCAAGCAAGGUUAAAAAAGUUCAUUUUGCUCCAAGAAGUGAAAACACUGUCAUGCCAAUGGUACCUGCCACAGUUACAAUAACGUCUACUAACUUUGCUGGAAGAAAUAGCUUGCGCAGCGUGAAAAGAGCAAUGACCUUUACAUGUAAGAUAUUUUGUUAUGCUGCUUCAUUAAGAAAUUCAAACAUAUGACUUACCAUACUGAACAGCUGUGGGACUCGUCGCUUGAAUUUUCAGCACACUUGGAUCUGCCAGUUGUGUCUGUCUGCCUCUGACCGUAAAAGCAGCAUUGACCGCAUAAAGAUCAGCAGCUGUGUACUAGACAGUUCCAGCCAUACUUUUAUCGCUCACCGCUUCAUCUCUGACGUAUCAACCUGUUCAAAGGAGCUAAAAUAGGGAUUGGCACUGAGGAUGACUUCACACUACGUAGCAAUCUCCUCCAUUUCAACAAAAUUACAUUUGCGUAAAAUAUGUGACAUAACUGGGAGAAGAAUCGACCUUCUUUCUGUAGUGUUUUGCAUGUAGCAGUGGAAUAUAGCACAGAGCUCAGCCUAUUUUCCAUUUAGAAAGGCUUUAGCAUUAGAAGAAAUACAGAGACCAACAGAUAGUAUGGUAAUCGGGAGGAAAAAGCUACCGCAUUAUAUCUGGGCUACAUAACGAUUAAACAAACAACAAGUAUCCGUGGCAUUUCUAAUUUGCAGCUAUAAGUCUCAAGCUGAUUUCAGAAAGAGAAGUUAUUAUCCCGACUCCCAAAGAACUGUCUGGUGCCUUACUUCCCUUAAAAGACUUGGCAAAGACCAUAACCUAAUCAACACCAGUUGACUGCGAAUCACUUGGUCCUGUUCUGUCUGCUGACCUUCAGUGCUCCCUAAAGAGAUUUGCCUCUGUAGCUCUUCAUGGGAUGUAGUUAUAUUGCAGUGAGGAAUAGUAGCCGCUAACGUAACAGAAUAGAGCUAGGCAGAAAAUCAGUAAGCACUGCCUUACUCAGAGAUCUAGUCAAAAAUAGCAUGGUGCCUUCUAGGUAAAGAGAUAUAUUCCAUGUUACGCUAUCGCCUAAAACUUGGGAGAAAAUUCCUACCGUGUGAUGUGGAUAGCGGACAGGUUCGUCUGCAUGCCGUUUUACAUCUCUGCUUUCGGCGUUUUGGAGGCAUCUUUCCAUGGAUAUUUUGUACUGCUUUACAGGUGCUCUAGUCAGUUCUAGAGCAGCACCUAUUGUUUUAGAUGGCUAAAAUAUUUGCCGCUACAUUUAGGUGAUGAUGACAGGGGAGAGUGAUGCCUUUAAACAGACAAAUAGGAGAUCUUCCUUAAAGUUGAUUCAAAACUGAGGCUGUUGAUAGGAAAAGGGCUGAAGCAUCGAGUCCUAGGUCUGAUCUCGUCUUUGCCGACACCAGCAAACACGAAGCUCCCCGUGACAGCACUGUAUGAGCUCUCUGACAGCUGAUAAACCGCAGGAGGUAAAUCUAUGAAGAAUGGGAGCCCCACAUGCGGGCGA